CUUAUUAUUGCAUUUAUAAAUCAACACUUUUAACCUUCAUUGGCAGGAAUAGCUAACUGUUGACAGUUUAAUGGAAAUUAUUCCCAUAAUCUGCACAAAGCAUUAUGGAAACGAAACGUAGAUGUAAUGCAAUUCACUACUUACAUUUUUCAUUUUGGUUUCAAUGUCCAAAUACUUUUGGGAGGCACUUUAUGGGGCUACUAUAUGUCAGAAGCUUAUUAAUUUCAUAAAGUUAAGGCCCAGGCUCUCAUUGCUUUUAAUACUGAGAGACUUUCACUGCUUCAUAAAUUAUUUCUAAUUUGCUCUUCAAGCCGUUUGCUCAUGCUACAGUUGGGCAGCACAUGCAAGCUUCGCUAAAGCUGUCUUGGCAACUGACAGGCCUGCCCUGUGUGAGAACACGCUGUCUGGGAGAGGUGGAGAGCAGCCAGGAUUGAUCGGAGCUCAAGGCGGGGGCUGAAUCUUUCAGUGUGUAUGAAAACUCUCUGCUUUUCUCUCUUCUCUCUUUUCAUCGGCACCAUCCUCCUCGCAGUGGAUAAUUGAGGUGCAGGGGGAUGGAGACAGGGGAAUCUAUUUCAGCACAACAUCAGGCGAAAAGGACGCUUGAAUGGAUGGCCAGCCGUGUCCUGAAUGCAAAAACCUUGUGGCUCAGUGGAACGUUGCGGAUGGAGCCACAUUUUCCACCUUGAGGAUCCCGAGAGCCAAUUCAGGGAUUUUCUUCCUCUGUGUCUGUCCAAGCAUGUUUAUUUCUCAAGGACCCCAGUGAGCUUUAAUGUGAGAGCAGCUUUUCCAUUCCAAUACGAAAGACAUUAUCAUGGUAAAUGGGCUGGAACAUGAAAUGGCUCCAAUGUGGGAAUCAUCCACAGAUUUAAAACCACAAACUCAAAAGCCUAUCCUCAUUUUAUAGCAAGGAUGAAGUAAACCAAUGCAUGCACACAUAUAUUAUUUAAUACUUUUUAGCUUUCACUGAAGGAGGAGAUUUCAGUAUGUCAGUUCUGGUGGUUUUAUAUUUACUGGUGGUCCAGUUUUAAAUUCAUACAAAAACAAACCCCAUAGACCAGUUAUUUUUCAAUAAUAAUAAAAAUCAAAUGAGUAAUGAGCUAAAAUGUGUC
ensembl:lncRNA